AAUAGUAGAUUAAAUUAAUUCUGAGAUUAUGUUUCAAACUUAAAAUAUUAUCAGUAAUCAGGUAUCAAUUUGGUAAAAAUAUGUUGUUUUUAAAAAAAUUGUAUAAUUUGCAUACAUAUCAUAAUUAUUAAAAAUAAGUAGGUAUCUACAUGUUAUUUUAGGAGAGCUUGAAAAACACUUGAGGUGGCCAAGAUCCUGUAAGCCCCCCUAGUGCCGUCGCCAGAAAUUUUACAUCAAGUGGGCCAAGUUAAGGCUAACAUUUUUCUUGAUAUCUAUGUAUCUAUCCGUGUAGAUUAUUAUGGUAAAAUAAUUAAAUAGGUAUUAUAUAUUUUCUUUAAUAAUAAUUGUUUAAUAUUGUACCAAUUUUCACGUUUUUCCUAAAUUAUUC